rnacentral:sRNA from 1 species
UCUACUAUCUUGGCCCCAUUGGACGUCAG